CAGUCUGCUUCGCCCUCCCGGCGCGCGCAGCUACUCCGCAUCCGCAGGCCUGAGCCGGCGAACCUUCGACA
rnacentral:tRNA from 1 species